GGUUUUUUGAGUAUAAUUUAAAAUUUGGCCUGCUCAAUGAAAUUUAAAUAGCUGCAGUAUUUUGACUGUACAAAGGUAGCAUAAUCAUUAGUUUCUUAAUUAGAAUCUUGUAUGAAAGGUUGGACGAGAAAUAAUCUGUCUUAAUUUAAUUUUAUUAAACUUUAUUUUUAAGUAAAAAAGCUUAAAUUUUAUUAAAAGACGAGAAGACCCUAUAGAGUUUUAUAUAUAAUUUGUAAUUUAAUUUAAGAAUUUAAUAUAUUUAUUUAAAUUUGUAUUUGAUUGGGGUAGUUUAAAAAUUUAAUUAAUUUUUUAUUUUUUAUUACAUUAAUUUAUGAGUUAAUGAUCCAAUAUUAUUGAUUAAAAGAUUAAAUUACCUUAGGGAUAACAGCGUAAUUUUUUUGAAGAGUUCAAAUCGAUAAAAAAGAUUGCGACCUCGAUGUUGGAUUAAAAUAAUUUUUGGUGUAGAAGCUAAAAUAAUUAAGUCUGUUCGACUUUUAAAAUUUU
rnacentral:rRNA from 1 species